UCUGUAUAAGCACAUUUCAGUUACAUAGUCCAAGAUAGACAAAAUCCAAUUUACAGACCCAAGAAUAUAAGUUACAAGGAGGACCAAAGGAGGAUGCUUAAAUCUCACUCAGAGUGUGAAAUAGAAUAGAGUGGAGAAGUGUCUGAAGAGACGGAACAAGACAAGACCCUACCAUAGCUGUCCUCUUAGAGGCUCCACCCAGCAUCAGAUGAAAACAUAUGCUGAGACUCACAGGAAAUACUGGGUGAAGAGCAGGGAAAGUGGAAAAUUGGGAGGAGGAUAAAAAGACCUUUAAUUGCCAGCUCCACAAGAAGACUACCAGAGCAAACUAAGGCCCCAGAGGGGCUUUCGGGGACUGAAACACCAACCACGGAUCACGUAUAGACUGGACCUAGGCUCCCUACACAGGUGUAGCAGAUGGGCAGCUCAGGGUUUGUGUGGGUUACCUGGUAAGGGGAGAAGAGGCUGUCUCUGACAUGGACUCUGUUGCCUGCCUGCUCUCUGAUCACUGCUUCCUGUCAGGGCUGCCUCACCAGUCCAUGGGGGAAGAGGAAUCCAUCAGUUUUGAUUUGACUUAAUGAGUUGGGGUGUGUGGGUAUGUAUGGCUCCCCUUAUUUGAGGAACAGGAUAGGGAGAAUAGGUUUAUAAUGAGGAAGCUUGAGAAUGAGAGCAGAGGAGGGAGAGGGCUAUGAUCCCAGUGUAAAAUGAAUAAAGAAAUUUUCAAAAGUGUAUUGUCCUAGGUAGAAACCCGUUAGAGAGGAAGGCUGGAAAGAAGGGAAAGCAUUGUUUCUUUCUUCAGGAAAGCAAAUCAGCUUAGGAAGCUGUCAAAUGUGCCUGGGACAUGAACUUGUUCAAGAGGGUGCUGGGAAGUUCAUCCAUUCACAAAGUGACUCAGGAAGUAAUAGAGAGGUGGGGGAAGUGGGUUAGCAAUCAGAAUGUCUGUCCCAGGGUUUUGAUGAGGAACACAUUUCUAGCAGUGGCAGCAGAAGGAAGACUCACAAAUAUAUAUCUUGGGUGUUCCCCUUGCCAGAGCCUGGUAUUUUCUGGGUCUCUGCUGGGCAAAAAAGGAAAAGUUAACUCAGAGCCAAUGGCUUGGCUUCAGUACCCAGGGAGGUCAGAAGCUCUGGCAAUAUGAUUAGGAUGGGCCCAAGUUGGAUAUAUCAGAAUAUCUCCUGUGAGACAUUAUCAAGAGCAGAUGUCAAUGCUCUAACGGGCUUUCUCAGGACUUCCUUGUACCAUCUAUUCCAAGGCCCUAAAUACACUAGCAUGUUCAUGUUCUUCUGGACUCAGCACAUAACACUGCCUAAUAUUUUGUCACUUAAUUCGCAAAAUGAACUGUUUGCCACAUACAGUCUUUGCCAGUACUCUACACUUGCUGUGCUUCAUAAUUGAAACCCAGCUUCAAGACUAUGCUUCUUCCUUUCCCACACUUCCUAGAGACUGGUCCUGUGUGCCCUGCUUAAUAGAUGAGCAAAGUGAUGCCCAAGAAACCUGAGGACACAGUUAUACCUAUACCUACUGAGGACACCUUGCUUGCCCUCUGCCUACACCUAUGCCAUUAGCCUAUGCUCUGGCAUUGCUUGGAAUCAAUUUUUCAGGGAGAGAUUAAGGACAUUCAAGUGACCUGAAAUUGUCCCUGAAGCCAAACAGUGAGAAAGACAGGAGAAAUCUAAGGCUAAAGAAACAUCUCCAAGGGACAAAAAUAGAAUGGCUUUCCCCUAAUUCAGUACUCAGCAUACCCUAUCGAAGCCCCUGCUCUCACCAUGCAACUCCCAGAAGGCCUGGAAUUAGAAAAAUGUAAAUUUGGGGCUGCUCAGAAGUUAUUAUCUGCCUGAGGGUUGAAUUCUAUUAUUAUGAUCUGAUCACCCCACUUCUUCCUUUUUCUUCCUUGAUACUGAUGUUAGACCUGUGGUGACUCCCAACAAAAAAAAAUUAUUUUCAGUUGCUACUUCAUGACUGUAAUUUUGCUACUGUUAUGAAUUGUAUUGUAGUAUCUGGUAGGUAGGAUACCUGAUAUGAAGUCCCUCUAAAAGGUUAGUUAAAGCUCAGUGGUCUCGUGACCCACAGGGUAAAAACCACUGUUCUAGACGGACUGUUUCAAGGAUGUGGCUGUGACAAGAGGAGAAAUCCAGACUUGUAGUGAAAGACUCUCAUCCAUGAGCUCUCUUGGGACCCUGAGGUCCUAGGAGAGGGCCUGUAGUGAGUGGUUUGGUGGAGCCAUAGCUGCAGUAAGAUUUAAGUCGUCCUUAUGUACAGAUAAUUGCACAGCAACCUCGUGGGGUGGUGCAACUUAUGAGCUAGAUCAGAAGGAGACCCCGGUAAACACCACCACCCACCGGGUGUGAAGAUCAUAACGGCUGCAGCUAGUCUUCCCGAUCUCCACCCCAGUGUGUUUAAUCUAGCUGUGGCAUUUGUGCAAACAAGUUAACCUUUGCACUAUUCCUCUACAGAAAUAGACGCUGGAAGCUUUAACUACAUCCCAGAAACCUUACACACAGCUAAGGAGUUAUCACCCAAGUUUGCCCCACAGGCCAAGUUGACUGCUGAACUCUGCCAAGACAGGCAGGCUGGAGAGUCCUUGGGAAAGGUAGCCUGAAGCAAGAGGACAUGUGUGAGGAGCUGUAUGAGACAAAGUGGGAUGUGCUGCAGAAGGGCUAGUCCUGGAGGAGCCUUGAUGUAGAUGGAGUGUUUUCAAGUGAUGGUAAAGGAUGGUUUUCUCCCUCACUGCUUCCCUUCUUCUCUCCCUCCCUACAUAUGGUCCUCUCUCCCUCUUUCUCUUUUGACCAUAGAUUUCUAGUGGCUUUCUGUUCUUUGAUUCUCUUCAGGUUUUUACAACUGUCUCUUGUGUGUUUUGAAUUUAUAAAUUUUUUAACAUUAAUCAAUUCAUUACACUGUAUUCACUUUGUAUCCCAGCUGUAGCCCCCUCCAUUAUCUCCUCCCAGGCUCACUCAACCCUCCCUCUUCUCCCCCUAUACCCCUACAUUUACAACUGGCUCAUGUUAAUCAGUUCUUGAAAUUCCCUUGUAUAUUUAUAGUCAAAACAUUCUGUCUCUUGCCCACCCUUUCCUCUUGUAACAGCUAUUUGAUAACAUUUGUUUCUGCUGGACACCGUUUUUCUGUUCAGUUACUCAGAGUAGCUUGCAUUGUCAGACAGUGUUGACAUAGCAGUGAUGUACGACAUAUCUUUUCAAUACAAAAAGAGGAAAAUGACACUCAGCAUAUUUGUUAGGUUAUAGCAGUUAGUUAUAGAGAAGUCAUGGAUGAUUUGUAGUGAGAAACAUUGUAUAGUGAGGGAAUAAUGAGCUCAGAAGAAUGUGUGAGCAGAAGACACAUCUGUUGAGAGGUCCAAAAUGUGAAAUUUAAUUUCUGGGGUAACAUGUUUGUGGUCCUGGGUGCAAGUUUAGACAAAGAAGCAGACAAGUUAGGAUAGACCCUUGUUCCCAGCCUUGAGGCCCUUGAAAGGCAUCAUUGCUUGGCAACCAUAUCAGAUGGCCAGCCGUCUCCCACACAGCUAGCCCCUAGCUGGUGAUCAAGGUCACAUAUUCCUGCUACUAGGAAAAAAAACAACCAAGGUGUGCUAAUCAUGUCCCCUCCCUAACAGGAACAGAGAUGGGCCAGGACCAUUAUAGCCUUGGUGCCUAAAAUAAACAAAGGCUUGAAAGUUCCAGGCUUGUUGUAUUGCCCUUUAAAAACCCUGUUCCUCCAGACCUAAGAGCCACAUAUCUCUCUUUUUCCACAGAGAUCUUGCACCUGAGCUUGAGCUUGUAUUAAACCCUAAUGUGUUCACAGUGGAGUUGAUUCCUGGUGGUCUUUGGGGGUCAAGUGAACUGGGCAUGAGAAAUGAGACCAUCCUAGACUAGAAAGCAAAACAAUUAAAUCUUGAAUGAGGUCCAGAUUAGAAAGAAAAACAACUGGGGCUACAGAACCUUGAAUAGAGAUCAGACCUGAUGACCCGCCCUAGAGGACAGAAUGAGCUUAUUUUGAGAACUAGGGAACCUGGGGCAGGGUGGACUGCUCUUGGAAGAAACCACAAGCUGCCAGCUGCAAAACUGUUUUUUAUGUUAUCUUUUGGCUGACCAGUCAAUGUAAAGAAACAUGUGUGGUCUGGUUUUUAGGUAUAAAAACUCUGUGCUUUGUAUUCUCAGGGUUGUCUCCCACCUUGAAGGGGCGACUCCAUCGCAAUCAGAAUAAAUUUAUUCCUCUUGCUUUUGCAUUGAA